AGCGAACGCUAUCGGCGCGCCUAACACAUGCAAGUCGCGCGAGAAAGCGGGGGCAACUCCGCAAGUAAAGCGGCGCACGGGUGAGUAACGCGUGGGUAAUCUCCCCCAGAACCUGGAAUAACCCGCCGAAAGGCGGGCUAAUACCGGAUAAGACCACGGGACGCCGGUUCCGCGGUUAAAGGCGGGGAUCUUCGGACCUGCCAUUCAGGGAUGAGCCCGCGUCCCAUCAGCUAGUUGGUGAGGUAACGGCUCACCAAGGCUAAGACGGGUAGCUGGUCUGAGAGGACGAUCAGCCACACUGGCACUGAAACACGGGCCAGACUCCUACGGGAGGCAGCAGUGGGGAAUCUUGCGCAAUGGGCGAAAGCCUGACGCAGCGACGCCGCGUGAGGGAAGAAGGUUUUCGGAUCGUAAACCUCUGUCGGGGGGGAAGAAACUCCAGGCGGUUAACACCCGCAGGGAUUGACGGUACCCCCUAAGGAAGCAUCGGCUAACUACGUGCCAGCAGCCGCGGUAAGAC
rnacentral:rRNA from 1 species